rnacentral:tRNA from 2 species
UUUAGGGAGACCUACCCACUUACAUCUUGAAAGCAAACAGCGAAUAGAGAUAAGUUGGUCAUCCCAAGGUCGUUCGAGGAAAGAGUGAAUGAAAGGCUUCCAAACUAUAUUGGUUCGGAGAUGGGCUAUUAGCUCAGGUGGUUAGAGCGCACCCCUGAUAAGGGUGAGGUCCCUGGUUCGAGUCCAGGAUGGCCCACCUAGGGGGUUUAGCUCAGUUGGUAGAGCGCCUGCUUUGCAAGCAGGAUGUCAGCGGUUCGAGUCCGCUAACCUCCACUGGGCUUUUAGAAAGCGAUGAGCCGAAGUGAAGGGAAAGAGCUUCAGCACCCAACCUAGUAUGGCUAGGUGGAAUGCUGGAGGAAUCCAGUCAGAACCUUGAAAACUGCAUAGAGAUUUGUCAGGUAGAGAAUUAGGUUAAAGUUUGAGGACGAAAGGAACUAGGGGAACCUAGAUUUUGGAUGUCUGAGGACUGAGGAUCUAAGAAUCACAGACACCAAUGAAAGCGACUGAGAAAUCAGUUGCAAGU